rnacentral:rRNA from 1 species
GACGAACGCUGGCGGCGUGCUUAACACAUGCAAGUCGAGCGGAAAGGCCCUUUCGGGGGUACUCGAGCGGCGAACGGGUGAGUAACACGUGAGUAAUCUGCCCCUGGCUUUGGGAUAGCCACCGGAAACGGUGAUUAAUACCGGAUACGACCACUUCUCGCAUGGGAUGGUGGUGGAAAGUUUUUCGCCCAGGGAUGGGCUCGCGGCCUAUCAGCUUGAUGGUGAGGUAAUGGCUCACCAUGGCUUCGACGGGGAGACGGCCUGAGAGGGUGACCGGUCGCACGGGUACUGAGACACGGCCCAGACUGCUACGGGAGGCAGCAGUGGAGGAUAUUGGACAAUGGGCGGAAGCCUGAUCCAGCAACGCCGCGUGAGGGAUGAAGGCCUUCGGGUUGUAAACCUCUUUCAGCAGGGACGAAGCGCAAGUGACGGUACCUGCAGAAGAAGCACCGGCCAACUACGUGCCAGCCGCCGCGGUAA